UAUAAAAUGUAUAAUCACACACACACACAUGUAUUAUGAUCAGGUGUAUAAAUUGUAUAAUCACACACAUGUAUUAUGAUCUGGUGUAUAAACUGUAUAAUGACACACACACACACGCAUGUAUUAUGCUCAGGUGUAUAAACUGUAUAAUGAGACACACACACAUGUAUUAUGAUCAGGUGUACUGUAUAAUGACACACACACAUGUAUUAUGAUCAUGUGUAUAAACUGUAUAAUCACACACACACAUGUAUUAUGAUCAGGUGUAUAAACUGUAUAAUGAGACACACACAUGUAUUAUGAUCAGGUGUAUAAACUGUAUAAUGACACACACGCAUGUAUUAUGCUCAGGUGUAUAAACUGUAUAAUCACACACACACACAUGUAUUAUGAUCAGGUGUAUAAACUGUAUAAUGAGACACACACAUGUAUUAUGAUCAGGUGUACUGUAUAAUGACACACACAUGUAUUAUGAUCAGGUGUAUAAACUGUAUAAUCACACACACACACACACACGUAUUACGCUCAGGUGUAUAAACUGUAUAAUCACACACACACACACACACACACACACACACACACGUAUUACGCUCAGGUGUAUAAACUGUAUAAUCAUGCACAUCAUCUCUUAUUCAUCACAGGUAUUAUUGUUGUUUUAGUCUAUGAUUUAAUCUUAAGAAAUUUCCCCAGGCCAAAUUUCACUCAUUUCUCAUAGUUCUAAAGUGGUUUUCUUCAUACACAUUGUUUAUUUAACAUGAUUAUGAUGAUUAGUUUUGCUUUUCGUUUAUUUUCUUAUCAUUAUUUUGGGAGGAAUAAAGUAUUUUCACCAUAAAGACCUCUGCACAGGAUGCUCAAUCCAGACGACACCCUUUCAUCAAAGUGCAUUUUAAAAAGCCUUAAAAAUGGAGAAGUUUGAUCUAUCUUCUAAUAUAUAUGGCUGCUUCCUUAUAGAUGACAGAAUGUGAGCAAUUUCUUGGACACCGGGAACUUUAGCCAGACAUUCUUCUUCUCUCCUUGCUAGAACGUGGAAGAAUGUUGUGAUUAUUUUCUUAAAGUGUUUGUUAUUAUUUUUUUUUAUUUAAAUGGUAACUGACUGUAUGGUCUUUCUCUUAUU